rnacentral:rRNA from 1 species
UGCCGCGUGUGUGAAGAAGGCCUUCGGAUUGUAAAGCUCUUUUAGUUGGGAGGAAGGGCAGUUACCUAAUACGUAUCUGUUUUGACGUUACCGACAGAAUAAGCACCGGCUAACUCUGUGCCAGCAGCCGCGGUAAUACAGAGGGUGCAAGCGUUAAUCGGAAUUACUGGGCGUAAAGCGCGCGUAGGCGGUUCGUUAAGUUGGAUGUGAAAUCCCCGGGCUCAACCUGGGAACUGCAUUCAAAACUGACGAGCUAGAGUAUGGUAGAGGGAGGUGGAAUUUCCUGUGUAGCAGUGAAAUGCGUAAAUAUAAGAAGGAACACCAGUGGCGAAGGCGACCACCUGGACUGAUACUGACACUGAGGUGCGAAAGCGUGGGGAGCAAACAGGAUUAAAUACCCUGGUAGUCCACGCCGUAAACUAUGUCAACUAGGCGUUGGGAGCCUUGAUCUCUUAUUGGCGCAGCUAACGCAUUAAGUUGACCGCCUGGGGAGUACGGCCGCAAGGUUAAAACUCAA